rnacentral:rRNA from 1 species
UCGGAAGCCAAGCAGGGUCGGGCCUGGUUAGUACUUGGACGGGAGACCGCCCGGGAAUACCAGGUGCUGUAAGCUU